rfam:Aedes albopictus isolate Foshan contig88341, whole genome shotgun sequence.
UGUACGAUUAGGCACGGUAAAGGCUGGGUAUGCUGCGCAAUUCAGAUCCCAUUGUGAUCUACUAGCCUCUGCCCAGCAACUCCUAUCCCUACCUCCUCGUGGUACCGACCGGAAACUAUGAGCAACCUUAGGGAAGAUCGGGUAACCAACCCCGGUGGGAACUUUGGUCAUAGGCUGACAGGGAAGGG